CCUACGGGUGGCAGCAGUGGGGAAUAUUGGACAAUGGGCGAAAGCCUGAUCCAGCCAUGCCGCGUGUGUGAAGAAGGCCUUCGGGUUGUAAAGCACUUUCAGUGGGGAAGAAAGCCUUGGGGCUAAUACCCUCGAGGAAGGACAUCACCCACAGAAGAAGCACCGGCUAACUCCGUGCCAGCAGCCGCGGUAAUACGGAGGGUGCGAGCGUUAAUCGGAAUUACUGGGCGUAAAGCGCGCGUAGGCGGUCUGAUAAGCCGGUUGUGAAAGCCCCGGGCUCAACCUGGGAACGGCAUCCGGAACUGUCAGGCUAGGGUGCAGGAGAGGAAGGUAGAAUUCCCGGUGUAGCGGUGAAAUGCGUAGAGAUCGGGAGGAAUACCAGUGGCGAAGGCGGCCUUCUGGACUGACACUGACGCUGAGGUGCGAAAGCGUGGGUAGCAAACAGGAUUAGAUACCUUGUAGUC
rnacentral:rRNA from 1 species